UGGGGAAUAUUGCACAAUGGGCGCAAGCCUGAUGCAGCGACGCCGCGUGGGGGAUGACGGCCUUCGGGUUGUAAACUCCUUUCGCUAGGGACGAAGCUUUUGUGACGGUACCUAGAUAAGAAGCACCGGCUAACUACGUGCCAGCAGCCGCGGUAAUACGUAGGGUGCGAGCGUUGUCCGGAAUUACUGGGCGUAAAGGGCUCGUAGGUGGUUUGUCGCGUCGUCUGUGAAAUUCCGGGGCUUAACUCCGGGCGUGCAGGCGAUACGGGCAUAACUUGAGUACUGUAGGGGUAACUGGAAUUCCUGGUGUAGCGGUGAAAUGCGCAGAUAUCAGGAGGAACACCGAUGGCGAAGGCAGGUUACUGGGCAGUUACUGACGCUGAGGAGCGAAAGCAUGGGUAGCGAACAGGAUUAGAUACCCCCGUAGUCC
rnacentral:rRNA from 1 species